CUCUUUCUGUUUGUCUUUCUCAUUCUAAUUGUAUUUACAUUCUGCAGUGUAGUCAAAUAUACCUGUAUACUGUAUAUUUGAUAUAAUUCUAGCUCUGUAAUGACAGUUGAGUCCAUUUGAAAUGUGUGGGUUUAAUUGCUAAGAUUAUGCAAUUCUGAGUUAAAAGACACCUCCAAUAUUGGAAAAGAGCUAUCUAAACCAGGUGACCAGUGUCCAGAGUGGAGGAUUAGAUAAGUAGUAUAUGUCAGGGAAGGUUAUUCGAUAGACAUUCAUGCUAAUCAAUGUCUGAAUCAGAAUGUUCAUAGCCCUAAUGAAGAUCUAAUAUGCACUCAAGGGAGCUGCAUGGGUGGCAGUAUAAUGAGGUGGGACAUAGGUUGGAGUCUCUAACUUAGCUGCAUGACUAAGUCACCAGAUUAUUGUGGAAAUUAUAAAGAGAACACAUGUAAAGCACUUAGCCUUGUGAAUCUCACAAAGUAAACAUUUCAUAAGUGCUAGCUAUUAUUAUUAUUACUCUUAUUACCAGGUUUUCAAAAGUAUAAGCCGUAUUUUUAACAUUCAAGAACUUAUAAUAUGAUUGGAGGAUGGCAGAAAAUAAUCAAGGAUUGUGACCAGCACAAGAGAGUAUGCGAUUAAGUGCUAAAGGACCAGGCACAACUUUAAGGACUCAAAAUUUCAGAGAAGGGAAUCAGAGAAACUUGCAGUGGUAAGAAAAAAUUCUACGGUGACUGUGAUUUGAUGCAUGUGUCUUUGAAAACUAAUUGGGCAUCCUGUUUCUGAACAACUAAAUCAGCUCACACUUUUCAUGGCAGAUUGAGAAUGCAAUGUAUUGGACUGCCAGAGCUUGGGG
rnacentral:lncRNA from 1 species